CACAAGGCAAGGGGCUGUCCAAGGACGUUGUCACUUUUGGGUUGCUCCUGGGGUCUUCUGAGCAACCAUGGCUGGGGAAAUUGUAUAUGCUGAUUUAAGGCAUCUUAGGGAUUGUUCUCCUGCUGAGAAGCGUUGUGCACCUGCCUUCUGUCCGUGGUGGCACAGGCUCCUUUUCAUAGCUGGGGGGCUGGGACAACUCAUCCUGCUGGUCCUGGUGGUGGUGCUGAGUGUGCGGGUUUUUCAGGGCUCCCCACAGCUGGUGGUGACAGGCAUUCCGCAGCUAGGCAGUGGGAUCCAUGGAAGGAACCAGGUGGAGCAGUGCAAGUUUUCAUCCUUGGUGCGGUAUUUCUGCAAGCCCCACGGGGACAGCCCCACAGCCUGUGCUGGCUGCAAGCUGUGUCCUCAGGACUGGCAGCUCCAUGGGGAAAGAUGCUACUGGCUUUCUGAAGAAUUGGGAAACUGGACUCAAGGCAUGAAAAACUGUGAAAAUCAGGAUUCCCAGCUGGUGGUGCUCCAGGACAAGAAAGAAAAGGAGCACAUCAAGACUGUUACAGGCAAGAGUCCACCACCUGUGUGGAUUGGAUUAAGGUCACAUCAGAAGGUGUGGAGAUGGGUGGACAACACACUUUUCAACCCCAAAAUGCUUGGCAACUAUCUGCACGAGAUGGGUGAAGGGUGUGGGACAUUGAGAGCCAAGGACUUUGAAGUUAAUAGAUGUGAUGCUCUACACAAGUGGGUUUGCAAAAAAAACCCUUUCCUGCUCUGCUCUGCAACAGCAGAAGACGGAGAGAAAAGCAAAACCUCCAUCUGACAAAUACCCACCCCAAGAUGCCCAUCCCACAAGACAUUUGCUGGCAAUAUUUGGGGUGAAAUAGCCCCAUCCUCACAGUUACAGCUUUGCAGGAGAUUUCAAGGUUUGCAAAUCCUCUUACCAUGAGGAUGAAGACGAGUUUUGGGGGCACAGAUGAGACCCUGAGCUGAAGGAUCAGAAAGUAAAACUGUCCUUGAGGAAUCCCAAGCCCCAGAAAACAGAGGGAAGGUUUGGAACAUGCCUAGGCCUCCAUGGAAGGAAAAACAGAUUAAAGAGAGCUUAAACAAUCUGUACAUACAUAAACUCAUGGAGC